rnacentral:lncRNA from 9 species
CUUGCCCGCGCCGCCACGUCCAUCCCCACCCCCCUCACCACCGCCGGCCACUGCCCGGCCAAAGCCCAGGCAAUUAAGCGCUGGGCAAAGGGCAGGAACGAGCCAACCCGGAGCUCACUCCACAAGUGGCCUAUCGGGACUGUCGGGGACCAGAAGGCGCGGCCCUGCGCCCAGGAGUACACGAUGCACCUCGUUCCUGGCCCUGGCGGCCAAGCUGCAUGAGGUGGCGGUGGUCGUGCGGGACAGGGGAGGGCGGGGUGUUUCUCUCAGUGCAACAGAGGUGAGCUUCAGGCAGCAUCCUCAGGCCUCCACUCGACCCCCGGGCUGGGCGGCAGGGGCAAGCACGGGGUUGAGGCCUGGAGAGCCGGGGCUGAGUGGAAGCCAGGGCCGUUCCUUCCCAUCGCUGCAGUGAGAGGCCCAGAGCCUCUUGGGGACAAAAGCCCAAGCCUGCAAGCGCAGGGCCCCGGGGGUCCGCUCGGCUCCGCUCCUCUCCCCUCCUCUCUCAGAGGUGGGUCCGGGAGCCCUCUGGACAGAAUCCUGGAGACCCUGGGAGCUGCCUUUCGGACUCGGGCCCAGGGCUCCUUCUGAGGCGGCUCCCUGGUCCCGGGAGGGGCCCUUCCCUUCUGGACUGGGACCUCCGGCCUUUGCUGGGCCUCGGGCCCCUUUGGCACAGGGUCCCCAGGCUCCCCAUGCCAUCUCUGAGCUGGACAGGAAGGAGUCACUGGAGCUCGCCUCUGCCGCUGCAGCCAAUGGCAGCAGAAGCCCAGCUGCCCGCGGUGGUCUCCGGCUGGGCCCCACCCGUGAGCGUGAGCGUGAGUGAGAGCGUGAGCGAGAGCCAGCGCCAGCGCCAGCGCGGCUUCAGAGGCCCUGGGCCCGCCCAGGCCAAGGCUGCUCUGCCUUCCAGGGGAAGGGGCGAGCCGCCAAGCGCCCGCAGCUCCCCAGCCCAGGGCCCAGGCUCCUUCUGAGCUGCUUCCUCUAGCCCCGCCCAGACAUGGCGGCCACCAGGGUGGCCCGAGACUCCACUUCCUGUGCCCCACGGGCCGGGCGCCCGGACCAUGGGCCUCGUCCCGGUGCCCGGGGCCGGUCUCUGGAGCUCCCACGGCCCCUCCGGGCCCUGGGCCACGCUUCCCGCCCCUUCCCCGGCGGAGCUCUGGACAGACUUCCCCGGGACACAGUCCCCGGUCCCCGACUGCAGGCCCCUGUCACUCCUCCCCAGGAAGGGACAGUCCAGAGUUCGCAGGACUGGCGGAGCCAUUCCUCUGGAUGGCGGUAUUGCACCAGAAAUGGCAGCCUGCCCUUCCCCCCACACCCCAAAAGUCCUCUCCCUCCGCCCUUUGCUCAGAGAAAAAAAAAAAAAAAAAAAAAAAAAAAAAGGCGAAAAGCAAAAAAAGAAAAAGGACCCAGAAAAACAGAAAAGGAGCCAAGGAAAGGAAAAGAGAAGCAAGGCCAUCUCCUGUCCAACUGGGCAAAAGCAAGGCCGCUCAUCAUCGUGGCCACCUCAGAGGGCUGCACCUCCAAGGCUGGCACUCCACAUCCUGUGGCUCCUUCGCCCUGUGGGGGCCUCCUAGCCUGCCUGCCUUUACCACAAGAAAGCCAUGAGGAUGAGUGCCCUUGCCUCGUUCUCCCCAAGGCAGGGAGCAGGGAGCCCUUGGUAGUCCUACACGAAAGCCACACGGGGGAGGGAGAGAUGGGCCUGGUCCUCACAGCCAAAGGUUCCUUUCGGGGCCCUCCCGCUCAGGGCCCAGGGCCUAGACCGAGGAUCUGACCUCACGCCCAGAGCGAGCUCCCCGUGAAGGGCCCUUGGGAUGGCCAAACACGCCCCUCUCGAAGGCAGAGCUGCCCGCAGAAGUGCCACUCUGCCCCUUGCUCGUAACCAAGAGCCGCAAACCCGUGUCCGACCGCGCUAAGCCACGGUGCCACACGCUCACCGGCCCGCCUGGAGAAGCCUUGGAUGACCCCGAGCCAGGGCAGGAGGCGGCAUCCUCCUCGCGGCAAGACUGUUUCAAGAGGACACAGCAGGAAGAGGAAACAAACAGAGACAGAAAGAAAACACCAGCUCCGGCUGCUGGCCGCCCGCACACUCGCGUGACAUUUCCACACGGGAGAAAGGAAGCACACCUUCCUGGAGGCUUCUCACUUCCAAGUUCCUCCGUUUGUCAAGAGUCAAGACUUGGGGAGCACAAGGAGAUCCCCAGUGGGCUGCCCCGAUGUGCACGCCCCCACCGCCCCGUCCCAAAGGUCCACGCCGCCCGGCAGGCGCACCCUCCGAACGACCCCGCCAAGAGCAGGUUCCCAAGGCCUUCCGGGCUUGGUCAAGGGCCAUGGUGGAGAGGGCUGGGCCCAAGGGCCAUCAGGAGAGGAUGGGAGGAACAGGCGGAAAGGGCUCCACUCGAAGCCAAGGAGGCCGAAGGCCUAAGAGGCCCGGCUCUCCGCAAAGCGUCUCCGACCACCGGCCCUCGCGGCCGGGCCGGUCCUGCUGCGUCUCGUGGCUGAGGUGGGGAGCUGAACGAUCGCAACACUGGCAGCUGGCUUCACAGAAGCCGGAGCCCAAACCGGAGCCCGAACCGGGUCCCGGCCUAAUCCCUUUCCAAUCCGCCCGGUCCCCCAGGACACUGACCUCAAAUUCCAGGUACUGAGCGCCUAGGGUAACGCACACAGAUGAGCUAGAUGCUCGUCCACACAUCUCCUUCUUCCGGCUCCGCAAGCGGGACCUGGCCCGAGAGCCUCUGCUAUCAAGCCGGAAAACUCCGGCACGGUACGCCGGUGGCCCCGUGCCACGGACCUACCUUGGGAGUCUCCCCUUCUUGAGGCUUGCUGAACCACCAGAACCACUGACCUUUUCCUGUGAUGAAAUGAACCCUUUUGGAAGAGGAGAAGGAAGAGAACAAAGGGCACUCACUCACCCAGAACACCAGCGCCUAGACAUGACCGACGUCCCCGACUUCCCUUCUCCUCCUCUCCUUCCACUCUGCCUGACACCCUGCAACGAGAGAGCCGAGCACGCUGCACUCAGCGUGGAACCGCCACGGUGCUGCUUAACACGGAGCCGCGCCCCCGCCCCCGCCCCAGGCCCUCACCCCCCCCCCCCCC